AUGGUUUUUCGAAGCCAGGGCCGGCGGCGGCUCCCGGGAAGGCCGCAGAGUCCGAGGAACCAACCCUUGGAGCGCGGCUGUGGCUGCGCCUGCCCCCUUCAGCCUUCCGGAGAGGCUGGGCUGCUGCGGGGAUCAGUCCUGGGCGGAGUCUGGAGGGCGGAAGCACCCGCUCGGGAGAAUGCAGCGCCCCCGGACCCGGCACCACUGAAUGAAGCCUUGCGGGAAGGGCUGUAACCGAGGCGCUUGCGAGGCUCGCCUCCGUGUGGGGUGGCUCAAACGGCUGCGAGCGAAGGACAAAUCACACCUCCUUUGUCUAGCACUUGGGGAGGAGAAAAAGUCCUCGGUAUUGAUGAAUUUUGGUGAAUCUUCCGGGUACAGCAACUUCUUUCUUUAAGAACUCAAGCUGCAAAUUUUAAAAACAUUUUUGUUUUUGAAACAUGUAUUCGUUUCAUUGACCCUGAUGUGGCAGGCUCUUGGUCCUCGUUGCUGAGGCUCUUUCGCUGUUUCAGCUCAGGACCUCUAAGGUGUGCGGGACUCCUCGGCUACCCUCAUCUGCCCGCCUCUCCGCCCCACCCCACCCCACCACCUGUUUGUCAGCUCAGGCUCGCUCUGCUGUUGCACCCAUCGCUAUCUCUUGAGGCCUUUUUCUCUAUUUUACUGUCUUUAAUUGUAUAGGGCCAGGGAGCCAGUGUCAAACUUCUCAGAAUUGAUUAGAAAUAACACUAAUAAAUAGCCCAAGAAGGCCGGGAACGGUGGCUCACACCUGUAAUCCCAGCUCUUUGGGAGGCUAAGGCGAGUGGAUCACCUGAGGUCAGGAGUUCAAGACCAGCCUGGCCAACAUGGUGAAACUCCGUCUCUACUAAAAAUACAAAAAUUAGCCGGGCAUGGUGGCAGGUGCCUGUAAUCCCAGCUACUCGGGAGGCUGAGGCAGGAGAAUCGCUUGAACCUGGGAGGCGGAGGUAGCAGUGAGCGGAGAUCGUGCCACUGCGCUCCAGCCUGGGUGACAAAGUGUGACUCUAUCUCAAAUAAAUAAAUAGCCCAAGAAAUCCUCAUAUGAAUAUGUCAAGGCUGAGCUCUUGUACAUUGAUUUUUAAAACCAUUCAAAUACCUUUUGAAAAUUAUCAUUCUUUAAAUUGUGGCAAAAUACACAUAACAUAAAAUUUACCACCUUGAUUUUUUUUUUUUUUUUGAGACAGAGUACCUCCUGGGCUGGAGUACAGUGGCAUGAUCUCUGCAAUCUUGGUUCACUGCAACCUCCACCUCCCAGGUUCAAGUGAUUCUCCUGCCUCAGCCUCCCAAGUAGCUGGGACUACAGGUGCACGCUACCACAGCCAGCUAAUUUUUGUAUUUUUUUAGUAGAGACAGGGUUUCACCAUGUUGACCAGGCUGGUCUCGAACUCCUGACCUCAAGUGGUCCACCCGCCUCGGCCUCCCAAAGUGCUGGGAUUACAGUCAUGAGCCACCGCACCUGGACAAUCUUGACCAUUUUUCACUAUACAGUUCAGAGGCAUUAAGACAGUUCACAUUGUUGUGCAAUCAUCAGCACCAUCCAUCUCUGGAACUUUCAUCUUGCAAAACUGAAACCCCAUGCCCAUUAAACACUUUUCUAUUCUCUUCUCCCCACAGUCCCUGCCAACCACCAUUCUGCUUUAUGUCUCUAUGAAUAUGCCAACUGUAUGUACCUCAUGCAGAUAGAAUCACACAGUUUUUGACUUUUCGUGACUGGCUUAUUUCAUUUAACAUACCGUUCUAAU
rnacentral:lncRNA from 1 species